rnacentral:misc_RNA from 1 species
GAUGAAGAACGCAGCGAAAUGCGAUACGUAAUGUGAAUUGCAAAUUCAGUGAAUCAUCGAGUCUUUGAACGCACAUUGCGCCCCCUGGUAUUCCGGGGGGCAUGCCUGUCCGAGCGUCAUUGCUGCCCUCAAGCACGGCUUGUGUGUUGGGCCCCGUCCUCCGAUCCCGGGGGACGGGCCCGAAAGGCAGCGGCGGCACCGCGUCCGGUCCUCGAGCGUAUGGGGCUUUGUCACCCGCUCUGUAGGCCCGGCCGGCGCUUGCCGAUCAACCCAAAUUUUUUAACCAGGUUGACCUCGGAUCAGGUAGGGAUACCCGCUGAACUUAAGCAUAUCAAUAAGCGGAGGA